rnacentral:rRNA from 1 species
CAGUAGCGCGGGAAUACCAGCAGCCCAAGUGGUGGUCGCGUUUAUUGGGCCUAAAGCGCUCGUAGCCUGACCGGUAAGUUCCCCGUGAAAUCGGGUCGCCCAACGAUUCGGCUUGCGGGGAAUACUGUCGGUCUUGGGGCCGGGAGACGCCGAGGGUACUCCGGGGGUAGCGGUGAAAUGCUGUAAUCCUCGGGGGACUGCCAGUGGCGAAGGCGCUCGGCGAUAACGGGCCUGACGGUGAGGGGCGAAAGCUGGGGGCGCGAACGGGAUUAGAUACCCCUGUAGUCCCUGUCUCUUAUAC